rnacentral:rRNA from 1 species
AAUGAACGCUGGCGGCGCGCCUAAUACAUGCAAGUCGAGCGAGAAGACGUAGCAAUACGUUUGUAAAGCGGCGAACGGGUGAGGAAUACAUGGGUAACCUACCCUCGAGUGGGGAAUAACUAGCCGAAAGGUUAGCUAAUACCGCGUACGCUCCUUGGACUUCGGUUCAGGGAGGAAAGCGAUACCGUGGGUAUCGCGCUCUUGGUUGGGCUCAUGUCCUAUCAGCUUGUUGGGAGGUAACGGCUCACCAAGGCUUCGACGGGUAGCUGGUCUGAGAGGACGAUCAGCCACACUGGCACUGCGACACGGGCCAGACUCCUACGGGAGGCAGCAGUAAGGAAUAUUGCGCAAUGGGCGAAAGCCUGACGCAGCGACGCC